rnacentral:rRNA from 1 species
AUUGAACGCUGGCGGCAUGCUUUACACAUGCAAGUCGAACGGCAGCGCGGGCUUCGGCCUGGCGGCGAGUGGCGAACGGGUGAGUAAUACAUCGGAACGUGCCCAGUAGUGGGGGAUAGCUCGGCGAAAGCCGGAUUAAUACCGCAUACGACCUGAGGGUGAAAGCGGGGGAUCUUCGGACCUCGCGCUAUUGGAGCGGCCGAUGGCAGAUUAGCCAGUUGGUGGGGUAAAGGCCUACCAAGGCGACGAUCUGUAGCUGGUCUGAGAGGACGACCAGCCACACUGGGACUGAGACACGGCCCAGACUCCUACGGGAGGCAGCAGUGGGGAAUUUUGGACAAUGGGCGAAAGCCUGAUCCAGCAAUGCCGCGUGUGUGAUGAAGGCCUUCGGGUUGUAAAGCACUUUUGGCGGGAACGAAAAGGACUGUGCCAAUACCACGGUUCGAUGACGGUACCCGCAGAAUAAGCACCGGCUAACUACGUA